rnacentral:rRNA from 1 species
CCUACGGGAGGCAGCAGUGAGGAAUAUUGGUCAAUGGACGAGAGUCUGAACCAGCCAAGCAGCGUGAAGGAUGACUGCCCUAUGGGUUGUAACCUUCUUUUAUAUGGGAAUAAAAUGCUCUACGUGAGGGAUAUUGUACGUAUCACAUGAAUAAGGAACGGCUAACUCCGCGCCAGCAGCCGCGGUAAUACGGAGGAUCCGAGCGUUAUCCGGAUUUAUUGGGUUUAAAGGGAGCGUAGGUGGAUUGUUAAGUCAGUUGUGAAAGUUUGCGGCUCAACCGUAAAAUUGCAGUUGAAACUGGCAGUCUUGAGUACAGUAGAGGUGAGCGGAAUUCGUGGUGUAGCGGUGAAAUGCUUAGAUAUCACGAAGAACUCCGAUUGCGAAGGCAGCUCACUGGACUGCAACUGACACUGAGGCUCGAAAGUGUGGGUAUCAAACAGGAUUAGAUACCCGAGUAGUC